rnacentral:rRNA from 1 species
GUCGAACGAAGCGCCUUUUGAGAUUCUUCGGAUGAUCGAUCGGUGACUCAUUGGCGGACGGGUGAGUAACGCGUGGGUAACCUGCCUCAUACAGGGGGAUAACAGUUGGAAACGACUGCUAAUACCGCAUAAGCGCACAGGAUUGCAUGAUCCAGUGUGAAAAACUCCGGUGGUAUGAGAUGGACCCGCGUCUGAUUAGCCAGUUGGCGGGGUAACGGCCCACCAAAGCGACGAUCAGUAGCCGACCUGAGAGGGUGACCGGCCACAUUGGGACUGAGACACGGCCCAAACUCCUACGGGAGGCAGCAGUGGGGAAUAUUGCACAAUGGGGGAAACCCUGAUGCAGCGACGCCGCGUGAGCGAAGAAGUAUUUCGGUAUGUAAAGCUCUAUCAGCAGGGAAGAAGAAUGACGGUACCUGACUAAGAAGCACCGGCUAAAUACGUGCCAGCAGCCGCGGUAAUACGUAUGGUGCAAGCGUUAUCCGGAUUUACUGGGUGUAAAGGGAGCGCAGGCGGUACGGCAAGUCUGAUGUGAAAUCCCGGGGCUCAACCCCGGUACUGCAUUGGAAACUGUCGGACUAGAGUGUCGGAGGGGUAAGUGGAAUUCCUAGUGUAGCGGUGAAAUGCGUAGAUAUUAGGAGGAACACCAGUGGCGAAGGCGGCUUACUGGACGAUUACUGACGCUGAGGCUCGAAAGCGUGGGGAGCAAACAGGAUUAGAUACC